CUCCAAAUAAAUUCAAUAUAACGUAAAAAACCUUUUAGUGUCUAGAUAUUUAGAGAAAAAUGUUGGAAAAUACUUAAAUGCUUAAAUGCAGCAACAGCAUGACAAUUGCUGGGAUUGAAAUUCGAAGGCGAUUUGGGGGCGGGUACCAAGUGGCUCUGAGUGCUGAUCGUAAUUGCACAUGCAUGUAAAUGACAAUUAAACAACAACAUGCUGCUCUCCGGUCCUGGUUCGGGGUCCUUGCGGACGGCAUGUGUCCUUGGGGCCGAACUGUCAUUCAAUUGACUGGCCCGCUCUCCACUUGGCUUAAACGUACUUGCAUCUACGGCUUGGCCCGCACAUAAACUAUCGAUUAGUUGAAUGGGCAAAAAUAGCAGCCAAGUGGCUUGUGGCACUUCGGGGCGGACACAGCUGGCAAGUCGCUCUAGCUCAGCCCCGUUUCAGAUGCUACACUGUAUAACAAAUUGAAUUAAAAUUGUAAAUAUCAGAACAAACACGCUCGCGCGAACUUUAUGCGGCCCACAAAUCAAAUGCACGAGCCGAGCCCCUGUGACUGCAUGCCAAAUGUUGCGCAUACGCUCCGUUGGCCGCCCAAAAGUGCUGAACUGGUCUGCCAAAGCCGUAAGCUGCUGUGCAUGUUUUGCAAAAAUGUGGCGUUAAAAGGAUAACAAAGGCUGCCCUCUAUGUUGCCGUUGCUGUUGAUAUUGAUGUUAACUUUGGGGGCGUAUUGCUUUAUUUUUCACAGUUUUACAAUUUUUCGUUUGUCUCUUUGCUUUUGAAUUUUUUUUUUUUGCUGGUGUUCUCGAUUUGUGGCCCUGAAACAAAAGCCAGAGCAUAGAGAUAAUACAUUUAUUUUAAAUCAAUAA